GGACAUGAGUCUUCACGACAAAAUUUCAAACCUCUUUCAUAAUUAUUCAUUUUUAUCUUAAAAAACAUGUUGGUAGUAUUCAGUCCCAAAUUUCCAAACCUUGUGCUCCUCCUUCGCUGCGAUGUUAUCAUUUGGAAGGGAAAUCUGGCCACAAAACUGUUAUGUUAAGCACUUUUCCACAGGAACUUAUUGCUUUAAUAAGUUGGGAGAAUGCUCUUGAAGAAAAAAAAUAGUCGUUGAAGAUUCAUUAGAGGAAGAAAAAAAAACCUACUUGAUUCUCCAUGGAAUUCACAGUUUCCUUGCUGUGGAAUGCUGCACAUACCCUGAGGUCCUAGCAAGGAGUCAGAGUGAGACAGCCACUCACCAGCGGAAAGAGAAUUUUAUGUUCUCAGGCACAGCACAGAAUGAUGAAAGUGUGUAUACCCGGCAGUACUUCCAAUAUCCCCGUGGACUGGGGAUUCCAAGAUAAACAACGCCUCACGCAGCUUGACUGGACUCAGCUGGGUAGUUCUCGAUUGGGAUCUUCAUGAAGUUACAGUCAUUUGGCAACCAGAACUGGAGUCACCUGAAGAAUUGGAUGGGCUGCGUGUUCAAGAGAGCUACUUUACUCACAUUACUGGGCCAACAGGGCUUGCCCUUUAAACUGAAGACCCAUGGAGGUCAAACUUCAGGUCGAAAUCCAGAGUGGAGGUGAAGAGAGAAGGCCAAUUCGUGGGCGCCAGAGCCAAGCACUUCUGCCACAUCACAGACUAGGUCGGGGACCCCUCCUGCAGAGAGCCCACUGCUGCCAUUUCUCACAAAGUGCUUUGGACCAGUCCCGAAGGACUCCGGUUGCAAGGCUGAUUUUGUGAUCUGAGUUGUCAUAUGAUAUUGUAUCUAUUGUCGUGUUUGUUAUUUUCUGUAGGUCCUUAUUAAGAUCACUGUUAUUAUCCACCAGAGCAAUGUUCCGGGGGCUAUGUAAGGGGUAUUAUAAUGUGCGCAAAGAACAAAAACUCAACGGGGAACUUCCAGAUGAAAGACUUGAUAUGGGACAGCACAGGCCAAAACAAUAGGGACGGAUGCACGGUAGUCGUACACAAAGGGUUAGGUGAUUACUGUAAGAGGAAGCGCUUUGAAGAACAGGUGGGCAUGGAGGAGGUUUUUGAAAGUGGAGAAGGAUGUGUUAUUGCAAACAUGUUAUUGUUUGAGUUUAAUGGAGGAUUCAACAACAUUUUUAAAAAAUCAAAGCGACUAUUGGACCUAAAACUCUGAGACUCACUGAAAGACAUAAAAGGCAUAUAGGCAAGAGGAUAGUUUUAUCGCAGUUGAUUUAAAGACCAAAUGUUAUGGGAGUGACCACUCCUUACCCUUCGUUAUAAUGCAAAUGGCCAAAUGUCAGCUACUUUUGCUUAAUUAGGAGACUUGCAAAUGUCCGCUUGGGUUUCUUGAACUUGAGCUUGGGUCUCUGCAUCCUUGGGAUACUCAGGGACCCUCUGAAACCUCUGGGAGCAUGAACUUACCCCGAGUUUCAGGAGGUGAGGCCCCCAAGUGAACUGAGGUAAGAUGGUCUUCAAGGUUGGUAUGGAUAGGAAGCUGAUUCCACUCGAGAACUGGGUUUUUUUUGAAACACAAAUCAAAGUCAGGUCAUCACCUGUGGUCAUGCUAAAUGUUCAGAUUUUGGACUGAAUUCUGCAGGUCAUGCCUCCUGUAGCCCCAGGUUGGCUGUAAGAUUGACAGGCAGGCAGAAGUAUUGGUUGCUUUCAGAGAUCCAUGAGAUUUAGAAACUGGAUUCAGCUGACUCAUCAUAAUACUCUCAACAAAGUUUGCACGAGAAUCCCCACUUACAGAUGGGAAGGGGAAGCUGGGCUCAUGUAAAUUUUAAGUAGUGGAAUAUGGGUUUGAACUCCGGCUCAUUUGACUUUGAGGCUCUUUGUACUACCCCAUUGUUGGUUCUUAGAGUAUGAUCCCUGGUCUGAUAGGCUCAGCAUCCUCUGGGAGCUUGUUAGAAAUGCACAUUCUUACAUAGGAGGCUUUGCAGAAAUAUGAACAAAUGAUUAGCCUCAUCUUUUCAGGCUAUGCUCUGCCCAAUAGACUUUUGAGGUCACCACAGAUCUACUGAACCAGAAUCUCUGGGCAGGGAGUCCAACAAUCUGUGUUUUAGUAAGACUUCCAGCUGUUUCUGAUGCACACUAAAGUCUGAGAACCACACACUCCAUCCAACCAGCUCUGCAGAACUUACAGUCUUCAGAAUCAUUCUGGGAUCCUGGUAUAUAAACUAGGAGAACAGGACACAGUGUAGGACCUGGCAAGAUCUCCACACACAAAUGCUAUCCAUGUCUUUAGUGCCACUAGGUCAAGUGCAGAACAAUUUGAAUUCCUUAGGAGAAGACACUUUGAUAUUAUGGGAUUAGGCAUAGUUCUUCAUUAUCAGCUGAAACAUAAUAAAAUCAUAUGCAGAUUAGAUUAACUAAGAGAGACAAUCUAAGACAGGCAACCAAUGGUGUUUAUCUCAGAGCAGUAAAAGCUAUUGUUUCCUCAAGAUAGCUAUUGCUCUGCCCUGUAUUUUCAAAUUUAUAAGGUGACUUUUAUACACUAAAUUCUAAAUCCUCGUCGGAAUUUUUAAUCAGUUUAUCUUUUAUUUUAAAUAUAAGUCAUGCAAUUAGUGGUCAGGGCUCCUCAAAAGUGUCAGAGAUUAAAAAGAGAUGUCAUACCUAAAUGAAAUAAGUGAUCUUAGAUUGGAUACAUCCAAGGAAGGACGUGAAAACCCAUUGCACUUUUAUUAGUGCUCCAAUUGUCCCAUCUUUGACCUCUUCAGGCUAGAUCUUUGAGUGUUUUUGAUAUAAUUUCACUGGUCUUUGAUAAUUCCCUGGCUUCCUGCUAAACCAACAUUGUUUUGUUUUUUGCAUAUACGAUUAUUUUCUUUUCUUCUCUCUCUUUGCUGCUUAUUGUAUUUUAGCUUUGAUAAUGGUUUUCAUUUCAAUGUUUCUGGGAUUUUACUGUAAAACAUCUGUACUAUAAGUAAACAACCCAUUCAUAUAAAUACAUUCUAAACCAACAACUCUUCAGGCGUCAUUUUGGCAACAUAUGUUAAAAAUGUUUGUAAAAUAUUCAGGCUCUUUGGCAGAGAACAUAUAUUUCUGAGAGUCUAUCCUAAAGAAAUACUCACGAAUUUGGAAAAAACCUUUGUAUACAACACAGCAAUAUUAUUUUUAAAAGCAAAAAAAAGUGACAAAAACAAAAACUGAGACCUAUAAUCCUAAAGUCAACAAAGUGGGAUGAAUAAAGUGAAUAAAAUGCAGUAUUUAAAUAUGUAAUUAGGAAAAUAGUUUAGCAUCUUGAAAAAGUACUUAUAUAAUUAAAUGUGUAAAAGCACAACACAAAGUUGUAUAUACACCAUAUUACAAUUUAAAAUACAUAUGCCUAUGAUAAAAAUAUUUCAGAUGAUAAACAUGAAUGAUUGUAUUUGUAGGCUAAUGGUACAAAAAAGUUUUUUUGGUUUAUCAAAGUAUCUGUAAUGCUAUCAUAUUACUUUUACAAUUUUGAUAAAAUUAUUUAAAAGAGUCAGCCCUGUGGCAUAGCGGUUAAGUUCAGUGUGCUCCACUUUGGUGGUCCAGGUUCGUGGGUUCAGAUUCAGGGCACAGCAUUACAACACUCAUCAGGCAUGCUGUGGUGUUGACCCACAUACAAAAUAGAGGAAGAUAGGCACAGACAUUAGCCCAAGGCUAAUCUUCCUCAAGCAAAAAAAGAGGAAGAUUGGCAAUGGAUGUUAGCUCAGGGCAAAUCUUCCUCACCAAAAAGAAAAAGAAAGGAAAAAAAUUACUCAAACCAUUCAAAAUGGCCCUGGUAUAAGAAUGGUUGAAAUAUGUUGACCAUUUCUUUAUUAUAAUUGUUCAUCACUUCAUUUUUUAUAGUCUGAGAAUACUACCUGAAUUAAAAGCAAAAAAAAAAGAACCACUCUGAGCUCUCUUACAAACACUUGCACUUUUGCUUUGCAUGGCCACUUCCACAGUUUCCCUCCUUCUGAGCAGCUCAUCCACUGUGUGACACUUACACUGCCCACUAUGUGAACCUUUCUUGACUCCAUUUGUCUGGGACAACUCUUGCUGAAAAGCAAGUGCUAUUAUUGCUUGUUUAUACAACUGCAUCUUAGAGACGGAAUGAAGUGGAACACAGUUGUGUUUUUCAUUGAAGCUCAUUAAAUACACACAGAUAGAGAUAAAUACAUAGCUAGAUAAAUACAUAGCUAAAAUCCAUUGAGGCAAUCAAUAGAUUCAGAUCUUUCUAGGCUACUGAAUCUAUGUCUCAAAUCAAGAUCACACUAAUCAUAUAAAUUCAGUCAAUUGUUAUUAAAUUUUGAUUCGAAGUCCCAUAUGCCUUUUAUUUUACAUCUCAAUUAUGGGUUGAACUUAAUGAAAGUAUGACCACUAAAUCUUGGAACUCUAAAGCUGACACUGUCCAAAGGAGUCUCUCCAAUCACACCUGAGGAUGGGAUAGAAAAAUACUGGGUUCCUGGCAGGAAAAAUUGGAUGUGAAGCAUGUUUGGACAAUCACGUGUAAAGUUGGGUGCCCUUAGACAUGUCCCAAUUUCUCCUUUUCUUCACUUAAAAAAAAUGGGUUAUAAAAACUUGUGCAUGUUUUGUACUCAUUUGAGUUCAUAGUGGGGAAAGCAAACUAAAAAUUGUGAGAUACAGGGGCCAGCCUGGUGGCAUAGUCAUUAAGUUCACCUGCUCUUCUUUGGUGGCCUGGGGUUCAUGGGCCCAGAUCCUGGAUGCAGACCCACACACUGCAUAUCAAGCCAUGCUGUGGUGGCGUCCCACAUACGAAACAGAGGAAGAUGGGCACAGAUGUUAGCUCCAGGACCAUCUUCCUCAGCAAAAAGAGAAAGAUCGGCAACAGAUGUUAGCUCAGGGUUUAUCUUCCUCACAAAAAGAAACAACAAAAAAAGUGUGAGAUACAAAUGUAAGGAGUCACUUUUCUUAUUGAACUCAGGAAGAUGGAAUUCAGUUUAAAUUUUUUUGCACUGUUUUUUUUCCCCAUUGCUUUUUCUUCAUUUUUUUGUUUUGUUAAUUUUAUAAUUUUAUCACAUUUUUAGGGUUUCUGAGAGUGGGAAGAGGCCAUCCAGAGAAAUUCCGUGACCCCCAACUCACUCUCUGGAUUCAACAAAAUAGUAACAAUUAAAAGAGAACACAAAAAAGGUGUGUUUCAUGUUUAUGAGUUUACAAACCAUACCUCCUACAUGUUUGAAGCGUCAUUUUUGCUUUCACAUCUAAGGGUUUACACCCAUCUUCAUGUACUUGUUGUAGUUACUUUCAUUGAUCAAGCAAAAUGACAAAAUCUUGUCAGAUUCGAUGUGUGCUGCCAUUGCCAAAACCUUGCUUAUUUGUCCAUUUUCUGUGCUUUGACAGCAGGCUGCACACACUCCUCACCCAUAAAACUUUGGAGCCUAUGCUGAAACAAUCCAGUGUUUUUCUUCUCUGUCCUCACUUUAAGUUUCUUGAUAGCAGGGACCAUUUUUUUUCAAGUAUACAAUUCCAGGACCCAGCAUGGUUUCCAGCUGAUUCUAAGCAAUUGAGGAAUAUUUCUGCAAAGUCUUUUGAGGAGAUAGUUGACCAAAUGAAUUGGAACAAGAAACACUGGAUAUAAAUUGAAGAUUGGUGGAGAUGAGAGAAGGCCUUAAAUACAUGGUCAAAUUCUUCAGACUUUAUCCGAAAACAAUAAAUAUUUAUUGAGAUUGGUGGAAGAAGGGUUUUAUGAAGACUAAUCAGGUGGAAAGCAGUACAAGUCCUGGAUAAGGAAGGAAGCCAGGAGAUAUUGUGCAAAUUAAUAGGAGCCUCAACUCCAAUUGUAGAUGUGGGAAUAAAAAUUCAGGGAAAGAGAAAAAAGAUGUUACCGAAGAAACAUCAAAUUACCAUUGUGAUUCCAUCUUUAAAUGUCAGCCGUUCUUUUUCAGGUGCUAUGGUAAGAUUUCAAAGGUGAAGCCUAUUUUGUUAGCUUUAGUUACACUGGACUUGGUCUAAGUUCUAGAAAUCUUGAUGAACUAGAUAUGAAUAUGUGGCAAUGGGUUUGUUCUUUAGUUGACAGAGCUAUUUAAACGAGAAUUUCAUAUCAGUGGUAUGGAUGCCACUCUCCAUAGCCACAUUUAUCAGACCAGUUGAGCAUUGAUCUAAAAGAUAUCAUUUUGAUGACAUGAAUUGGAUACGUACUUUGGUAUUUUUUAACUGAGAAAAAUUAUCUUAUAACAAAGAUUUAUCGACAUUUACUACCAUCUUUAACGUCUGCAAACCAAACGUAUUUUGGAUCUUCAUUUAGCAAAAGAAAAUAAACAAAUUUAUUAAAUCCCAAAGGAAAACAACAUAUAGGAGAAGAAGAAAAAAUAGGCAACUGAUUGAUUAAAUUCAACAGGGUCUUCGUUUUUCACUCAUUAAUGUAUGUUUAAGUGUCUUUCGGUUUUAAGUAAAUUUCAGGUUGAAUCACAUGUAACUGCUAGGAACCUCUCCACCACAGAAUCCCACGGCCAGAGUCAUUUCAAUUAAUUAAGUGUUGCAGACUUUAGUAACAAUUUUAGGCUGCAGAAUGAAAUUAUUUCAUGAAGUGGCAAGUUCCUCAUGUGCUUUUUUCUCCCUUCAUCCGGAUUACGGCAGGCAGAAAUUGAAUUUUGUCAGUAGAUUAAAAAAAGCCUUAUGCCUGGAAUGACUUCAAACAAAUCUGAUGACUUGUGUAAAAAAGGAACGGGAAAUAAACAAAUAAUCACAUAGAAUCAAAAGUAAUUCACUCCCAAUGGAGAGCUUCUUGCAACUUUCUGAUAUGUGGUUAAGAUCACAUUUUCUUUGCAUAAAAAGUAUCAGGCAUAUAAAUGGAUGAAUUUGGUUGUCAAAGAGAAGUAUCAUAAACUUCCCCAUCUUUUUAAAGUUUAUAAAAUAUUGAAGAAAAAUCAGUUUCUUGUUCGAUUCUUAAUACCUAAUGUACAAAACAAUUUAAAGGCAAAAUAAGAAAAAAAAAAAACCCAAACGAUCUAUAAAUAUAUUUUGAAUUCAUAUGUGAAGCCCAACACUGUACUAGUUGAAGUCAAGAAUACUAGGAGGGCUAUGAUCUUCUACUCAGGUAGUUUAUAGUCUUGUUCGUUAUUCAAGAUGUGUACAUAGACAACACUUAAAAAUAAAGGCAGUAUGUAAUAAACAACUUAUGCAGUGAAAGGGAGGAGGAUAUGAAAGAGAUGAGACAACUAAAAUUAUUCACUGCUUACUUUCUGACAGACCUUGUGCUAAAAGUUCUAACUAAAAAAACAAUUUCAUUAUUUUUCUACCAAAAAAAGUAAUGAAAAUAAUUUUUGCUACAUAUUCUAAAAUUCGGAAAAUAUGUGGGAAUAAAGGAAUUGAAAAUCUCCUGUAAAUUCACUAUUUACCAACAUUAAAAUCUUAAUGUAUGGCAUUUCUUCCAGAAUUAUCUAUGAUAAUUGCAUAUCAAUAUAUAUCAAUCAUAUCACAUAAGCAAUUUAACUGAAGUUUUCACUUAACAAUAUCAAGAGCACUUUUCCAAGUCAUUAAAUAUUUUUCUAUGAUAUUAUUGUAAAUCUCUAAAACAUUCCAUUUUAUGGAUAUGCCAUCAUUUAUUUAACUAAUCUACUAGGAACUCUUAAAUUAUCUCAUUUAAUUCCAGCAAUCUCUGAUUUUAAAAGUAUUUUCCCACCUCACGCAUCUAUAUUAUAAUACCAUAGUUAUUUACUAUAUUAAAUUGCUAUUAUAUAUAUAUAAUUACUAGAGCAGUGACAAAAAAUUAAUGUUGUAUCAGAAAUAUGAAGAAACUUGAAGGGUUGUCGCUCUUCACAUGAGUCUAAAUUCCUAGAAGAUGGUAUCUGUAUGCCAGCCAUCCUCUUGGCUAGUGUGAUGCACAUGGUAGAAUCAACAGAUAUUCCUGAUUGAUAACAUAACUUUAUAUCAAGUACAAAUAUUCUCUUCUUUGUGCAUGUACACUGGGAAUAAAGAAAGAACGGGCUGCCUUAAUUGAUGUAUUAACUUGCCAACUGGCUACGUAAUAAAAGAAGUAGAGAAUUGGCACUAGACAAGUAAAAUUUUUACUUUGGAAGCUAAAGAGACAAAAUACAAAGAAAGAAAGAAGUCAAUUGGCUCAAACACAUGGAAAUUAAAGACAGAACAUUGUAUUUGAUGGAAUUCCAUAAAAGAGGGUGGUGGUGUAAUUAAACCCAGAGAAAAGAGAAGAGAUAGCAGGGUAACAGUAUUCAAACAGGAACAGUACUAGGAGUUAUGCUAGAGGGAAGGUGAGGGAGGACUUUGGUUUCUAACCAAGGGGAUGUAACAGGGGACAGAUUUACUCUCUUGCCUGAAACAACCAAAAAAUCCAGACAGAAUUGAUGAAAGCAAUGGUUUCCAUAAUAUUGGAUGCCAGACAGAAGAACAGUAAUGUCUAAGAGAUAGGAAACAAACACGGUGAAUCCUCUGCCUGCCUCAGCUUACUGCCUUGAGGGAGUUUCCAGGCUGUGGACAGCGAGAGGAAGCCAGGCAGAGCAUGGCUGACUUCCAGAGCUGAGGAGACAGAGAUGAACGUCUGGAGAGACUAGUUUGUUGAGAGUUCACAGGACAGGAACCAUAAAGUAGAGAGCUAUACGAAGAGAGAAUUCCAGAGAUCUGCAGAGGGCUCCCCGAGCAUUUAGCAGAAUAUUGAUCAGCACAUGUGUGUGAAGAAACUACCCAAUGCUGAGAACCACCUGAAAGGAACAGAGGGAACAGUAUCCAACAUGGCACCCUUUCAUCCAGGGUUGAAAAUUGUGCUUGCUCCCUAUUACCAGGCUGGGAAACUUCAUAAUUCAUAAAUUAUUGGAUAGAGUACUUGGAAGAGGCUUGCCUUAGUAGUGAGGAAUAAUUGGCCCUAGAUACUGUUCUGGCCUUGCCUGGCAAGCAUUAAAAGUAAGACUCAAAAAGAUGAGACUGUUUCCAAGUAAUUUAACUGCAUCCUAGAACAAGAGCUCAAGAAUAUUUAUAGGAAUACAAAAUGACUCAACAAGGUAAAAUUCACAAUGUCUGGCAUCUAACCAAACAUUCCUCAAAAGGCAAGCAAACCAGAAAAUAGGAAUCCUUUUCCUGAGAAAAAUCGAUCAAUUAAAACUAACCUAGAACUGACACCUAUUUUAGACUUUUCAGACACAGCCAUUAAAACAAAUAUACUGUAUUUAAUAUGUUCAAAUGGUAAGUAUUAACAUGGAGAUAUAACAAAGUCCCAAAUCUAAAUUCUAGGGGCCAGCUCAGUGGUGCAGAGGUUAAGUUUGUAUGCUCUGCAUUGGCGGCCUGGGGUUCACAGGUUUGGAUCUCGGGUGUGGACCUAUGCACUGCUUGUCAAGCCAUGCUGUGGCAGGCAUCCCACAUAGAAAAUAGAGGAAUAUGGGCACAAAAUUCUAUAAAGUCUGAGAUAAAAUACACACUGGAUGGGGGCUGGCCCGGUGGCAUAGUGGUUAAGUUUGUGCACUCCACUUUGGUGGCCCAGGGUUCAUGGGUUUGGAUCCCAGGCAUGCGGACAUACACACCACUCAUCAAGCCAUGUUGUGGUGGUGUCCCACAUACAAAAAAUACAGGAAGAUUGGCACAGAUGUUAGCUCAGAGCCAAUUUUCCUCACCAAAAAAAAAAAAAAAAACACACUGGAUGGGUAUCUGACUCAGCUUGGGCUGCUAUAACAAAUUACCAUAGAUUCAUGGCUUAAGCAACAUACACUUAUUUCUCACAAUUCUGGAAGUGGAGAAGUCCAAGAUCAAGGUACCGGUGGAUUCAGUGUCUGGUGACUAUCCUCUUCCUUCUUUGCAGACGUUGUCUUCUGGGUGUAUCCUCACAUGGUAGAGAGAGAGAACUAGUUCUCUGGUCUCUUUUUAUAAGGGCACUAAUACCAUCAUGAAGAGACCAUCCUCAUGAUCGUAUCUAAAUCGAAUUAUCUCCCAAAGGCUUCACUUCUUAACACCAAAACAUUGGGGGUUAGGAUUUCGAAAUAUAAAUGUUUGACAAACAUCUAGUCCAUAGUAGUGGAAUUAGCAGCAGAUUAGACAUAGCAGAGGAAACAAUUAGUGAAUUUUAAUACAUGGCAGUAGAAACACUCCAAAAUAAAACACACUGAGAAAAAAGACUCUUAAAAGAGAAAAAUGAAGGCAUUUAUCUGACAGAGCCAGAGAAGUUACUCUCUGCUGCUAAGGUUUUCACUACAGAUGCAAGAAAAAAGUGUCUGUGAGCUUCCUGUCUCUGAGUGCAGCAGCCAAGAUUGAAAGGGGGAAUAUAGGAAUUCUAAAACCAUGGGAGGGGGAUAAUUUUGUAACUUAGAAAUGACCUUGCAAACAGAAAGGAGUCUGUUUUUACCACAAAAAACAAAUCUAAAAUUUGAGAAAAUCUAAAGUUUUCCAUUUAUAUGGCAUUAGCCAGGAAAAUAGACUUGGAAUUUUUGCCUCUAACCAUAUUUUAGUGGAGUUUUAAAGUAUGUUCUAACUACAUUCAGGUCAAAGUGACAGGUCUGACAGUUAUGUUGUUGGAGGGUAUUAACUGAUGUUAGAAAAGUAUAUGUAAAUGUUAGUGGUAGUGAUAUUUGGAUCUUACCAAGGGAAAGGAGUGGUUAUAUUUUGAGAUGCAGGACAAGAGUUGACGGAAGAAAAGAGAGUAGGAGAAGGCCCUGGGGAGUGAGUGGUCCUCUCCCAGGAAGUUGAGGGGUUGACUGGUAUGAGGCAGGUGCCUUCUGGGGAAAAUAAUAAUCCCCAUUAAGUUUUAGAAUGAUACAGAUAGUAGUACUGUCUACCAGAUUUCUCUUUAGACUUGGUAGUAUAGGGUGCAUGUUUUGGCAAAGAGCAAGGAUCACAGGAUAAGCGGUCAGCAAGCUCAGAAACAUAAUAGAAUUGCUGAGAUCAAAGGAAGAAAUGCAAAAAUGUCCCCUGUCCAAUUUGUGCCUUAGGAGACGCAGCCCAUGGGUAUCUCUGCGACAGAGGUUUUAGCAUCUAGAAUGAAUUUGUCUCCAGUGCAGAGGAAAAAGGCAUCUCCAGUGGCGAGAUCUUGAGUUCAGCCAGUGGUGAGCUUCCGGGCCAGGGAGAGUCCAUCUGUGAGGUGGGACUGGAGUUUUCUUUUUUAAGUGAAUACCCACUUGGGUUGAUGUGGGUCUCAGCAUUUGCCAUGUUUGGUUGAAACAACAGCUUAUUUGGAGGAUUUGGGCCUCCAGAUUGUAAAUCAAUGAAACACCCAGACUGGGAGUAGUAAGACCAGCAGUCAUGGGAAUGGUGUGUGGCUGUGCCUGACAGGAUUUUUUUUGUUUUGGUCGAAAUUUAGGUUCAAAUGGGUCGCCUGUCAGAUAAAUAGCUACCUGGCUCAUGGCACAAUCUAUGGCUAAUAUAUCCCAGCAGAGCAUGUGCCCUCAGUCUGGCCUCCAGCCCUGAUGAGAUCCAGGCAGGUUCAAAAAUUUGUAAAGAUAAGUUAAAGUCUGAGCAACAUAAAGACUUGUUUAGGGGUUUCUCUGAUGGUCUGGAUUUCAAAAAGAGUUUUUGAGGAGACUCCUAUGUCCCUCAGUUAAACCCACUAUUUGGGACCUACUAGGGACAUGUGAGUUUUGAAGACCUUUUCUAAGAGCCCUGCAUUGUAUAUUUUGAAAAGUGAAAUGUGUGUCUUGGUUACUACCAAUGAUGUCUCUAAUCCUAAAAGAAAUAAGGAAUGUCCUGACAAGGCCUUGUAUUGUGGCCUUAGCAUAUGAAGAGACGUGUAAGAUUUUGAUUUACAUUUUGGGUAUGUGUGAGGCAAGGUUCCCAGAGUCUUUUACCUCAAAAGGGACAAUUUUUCGGUAAUGGCCAAAUAGCUUAUAAUAAAUGUGAAAAUGGAACCAUUAAUCGGCCAGGGCAUCCAGUGUUAAGAUGACUGCCUGAACUUAACUAAAUAUGUUGCCUUUUGGGUCCUAUCCUUUAUCAGGGAUAUCUUGGCCAAUCAAUGGAAAGCCACAACAUUCCAUGAGCUCCAUCACAUAUGAUAGUCAAUAGUACGAAUCACAUAGUCUAAGAACUCCCAUUGCUAUUUGCUGGGUUAAUCCCAAGGGGCUUCUUAGGUAGCUAAGCUGUCUGGGGGAGGGGUAACCUCCUUCACCACCAAGGCAUCUGCCAAGGGACUGAGGACAGGAGAAGCCACCCCCUCCCAUAGGUGGAAUAUGCCAGAGGGCUCAGAUAUGACUCCAUCCUGUCUUGAGGAGGCCUCUAUAGCCAUGCUGAGUUUGUGAGGUGCUCCUUCCGUGACCCAAAGUAUAAUGGGCAGCUGAGUAUGGAGAGUCACAGGUUCAGGGUCUGUAAGAGUUUCCAUUUCCAGGAGAGCCCAGUAUGAAGCUACCAACUGUUUUAAUGGUACGUUGCAUAAAGCCAAGAGGAACAGUUUCUUGUACUAGAAGCCCCUGAGCAACUAAUGGCCAUCCUAGGUAGUUCAGAGACUCCAGGUGGCCUGAGGAGAGAAAGAAAAUCUUUGUGACUUUGAGUUAGAAAUGAUUUCUUCAAAAUAAAACCAAAAGCAUGAUCCAUAAAGAUGAAAUAAAAGACAAUUUAGCUUCAUCAAAAUUUAAAACUGUGUUCUUCUAAAUACACUGUUGAAAAAUUUAAAAGACAAGCCACAGACUAGCGAAGGACUUGUAUCUAGAAUAUAGGAAGAAUUUUCAAGUUUCACAAUAAGAAAAUAAAGAACUCAUUAAAAAAUGUGCAAAAACGGUGAACCAACACUUCGAAGAAAGUAUAAAGAUGACAAAUGAACAUAUCAAAAUAUUUGGCAUCAUUAGUCAUCAGGGAAAUAAAGUUAAAACAGCAAUGAAAUACCACUACAUUCCAAUUCAAAUGUCUAAUACCAUGGAGCCAAAAAAAUUGAUCAUAGGAAGUGUUUUUGUGGAUAUGGAGGAACUGGAACUCUCAUCCAUUCCUGGUGGGGAUAUAAAAUGGUACAACCACUUUGGAAAACAGUUUGGCAUUUUCUUAAAAAGUUAAACAUCCAUCUCCCAUCUGACCCAGCCAUUCCAUAAAAAUAACUGUAUACAAAUGUUCAUAGCAGCUUUAUUUGUAAUAGGCCAAACUUAGGAACAAUCCAAAUGCCUAUCAAUAUGGGAUUGCAUAAAUAAAAUUUGAUGUAUCCAUAAAAUGGAUUAGUACAAAAAAGCAUAAAGAAUAUGCAACAAAAAAGAAUGAAGCAUCAAUGCAUGCAACAACAUGGCUAAACCUCAAAAUAAUUGUGCUGAGUGAAAUAAUCCGGAGAAAAGGGGACACACAUUGAGUGAUUUUAUUUAUGUAAAUCUGUAGAAUAUUUAAAUUAAUCGAAAAUGACAGAAAGCAAACAAGCAGUUGCUUGAAGGUGAGGGACGGGCAGCGACGGACAGAAGGAAAAAGUUCAGAGGUACAAGUAAACUUUUGGAGGUGCUGGCUGUGGCGAUGAUUUCACAGGUGUAUCUGUAUGUCAAAAUGUAUCAAAACGUGUCCUUUGAUUAUGGCCACUUUAUGCCUCAAUAAAACGAUUAUUUAGAGAUAUGCAAGGAGCACUAGUUGUAUUGGGAUGGGUUGGACUCCAAAGCCUGAUAGUCCCCAAAACUGAAAAAGAAAAAAAAAAUGGAGCAACUGGCAAUUAAAUGUUUUAAAAGGGAAGAAAUCUGUUGCUCUUGAUGAUAGAUUUUCGUUGCUAGUGCCCUGGGGUGGAUUUCUGCUGCUGGCGACCCUGUGUCCUGCAGAGCGGAGCACUGUCUGUUUUUUUUGCACCAUCCUCUCACCUUGCAGCGGUGCUAUAUCAGACAAUGCUCUGCUGCUCUUCAUAGGGUGUUCACUACCGAGGUUUUUAGAAGUGGGUGGCCAGGGCCUUCUUCAUAGUCUGUCUUAGUCUGGAAGCUCUGCUGACGAUUGUUCACCAAGGAUGAUCCUGCUGGUAUAUGAAAUACCGGCAGCAUAGCUUUUAGCAUCACAGCAGCACACAACAUCCACAGUGUGACAACCGACAGGUGGUGUGGUUCCCUGACUGGGAAAGGAACCCAGGUAUGGGCGGUGAGAGUGCGAAAUCUUAACCACUAGACCAGCAGGGCUGGCUGAAUGGCCCUGGACAAAUCAUGGAGCCCCUCUGCCACCCUGCUGUCUCCUCUGCACCUGCCUGGGGCUGGGGGCCCCAUGGGGCCGUGUUUAAGCCCUGCCCUGUGCUGAGCCGAAGCCUCCGCAGGUGACUCUGUGACCAGCAACCACCCCGUGGAACUGGGCCAGAGCCACUGCCAGACACCUGGCAGAACCACUGAUCAGAUGUCCCGAGGAUGAGCAUCCCCAUCAACCUCCUGUGUUUGAGUCUUGGGGAGGCCAAUCUUUUCCUCAGGUCCCAGGUCUCAUCAAAAGAGAGUCGGUGAUGUCAAUAAUGAAUCUCAGGACGUGUGCACAUGGCUCCCCAAGGAUAGAGCACAACCGGGAGCCUGCAGGCAUGCUCUGGGCCUGCGGCACACCUCACAGCGUCUGAAGAGGCCCAUGGCUCAAAGAUGGGAUGGGGUGUAAGGUAGAGGCUCCUCCUUCCUAAACUUGCACUGAUCUCAGCCCUUAUAACAAAGCCCUCAGGAAAUGAAUCCAGAUCCCAACCUCUCCCCAGAUGGAAGUUCAGAUAGGGGCAGGAUCCUGCUUGACUUGAUUCCCUGGCUUUGUGAUGUCAUUAAAGACCCAUAUUCUUUUCAUAUCUCCACACUGCCACAAUUUCCCCUGGGUCUGUCACACUUCUGCACAUCUUGCAAGCAGAGGCACUGACAGCUUUUGCUCCAGACCAUCUUUUCAAGGAUGCCCUGUUAGGGGCCUGGGGAGCCCAGCCAACUCAGCCUCACUUCCACACCCUGUCACCUGUUUUUCCAGCUGUCAUCACCUGGUGGCCCCAGAGUCUUCUUGGGGACCAGAUGAGGAGCAAGCUGUAGCCCGCCCUCAGCAGCCCCCUCACCAGGACAUGCCCUGUACCACCUUGGACGUCCUUGUCGUGGGUGAAGACAGGCAGCCCUGGCAUUGGGGCAGGCUCUGGAUGCUAAGCGCCUCCUGGAGCCCACCCAAGCUCCCUCCCCAGCAACUCCCUGUGGGCAAAGGGACAGGGCCCAUGGAAGAUGCCCUUCAGCACAGAUUUUCUUCUUUACCUCCAAAGAUGAAAGACUCCUACCAAAGGGAAGAAAUUUGCCUCAAGCUUUCAAAAUGUGAUAUCCACCUUCAUUACUUGUGCGCCAUUCCAGUCAACUGGAGCGAAAUCCAAGCAGAAUCAUCACCCGCGACCUUGCCUGCCAUUUAGAAAAUGAUUUCCCAAACCACAGAGGGUUAAUUCGGGGCACACUUCUCCAUACAAGGGUUUGUUUUUAUCUCUGAAGAGUCCAAGCCGGUGAUAACCAGGGCAAUAUCUUGUCCGACACUGAUAUUUCUGCUGUCAAAAAAACAAAACAAAAAACCAUAGUUGUUUUUUUUUUUCCCCUAAACCUCCCAUAUAAGGUCCCAAACUACAGCCCUGGGCCUGUGGGUUCCUCAG
rnacentral:lncRNA from 1 species